GGGAAUGUGGCUCAAGGGUAGAGUUCUUGCUUUGCAUGCACAAGGUCCUGGGUUCAAUUCCCAGCACCA
rnacentral:tRNA from 1 species